rnacentral:lncRNA from 1 species
CAAGGCUUGUGAUUUCCUAAUCUUUUCUCCACAGGGUUACAAGAGCAAAAACUCUUAUUCCCACAGCAAUUUCAGCCUGACUCUUACCAGAGAAAAGAGACAAGGGAUUGAACCUUUGAAGGCAGAGUAAGGACCUGACCUGUGGUUUAUGUCUUCUUGGAGUGCAUUGUGACAAUCUGUUGUAUACAGAAAAAGCAUUUCUGUCCCUGUUCCUUCAAGAUAGCUGUACUUACUGAGAGAGAUAUGAAUAUAUUGCAGGUAGUGUUGAAUCAUAUCCUGCAGGAAAAAUUGAAAAGGUGAGUGAUUUUAUCAUUUCCCAUUGCCAGGUUAAGGAGCAGAAUUGGAGGUAUUGACAUAAGAAGGGGUGAGGAGAUGACCAGUGGGAAGGAGGAGUUGAAAGAUUUCUGUAAUCAAGCUCUUUGUUCUCAUUCCCAUUCUGCAGAGAAACAUCUUUUGGAUGAACUUUUCUGUGAAACAAACUGCACAGGAAGAUUGUGA